AUAAUGCCUCAAUGACUGUUUUAGAAAUUUUUAUAAAAUCUAAAGAUGUAACAAAAUAUCGAGAAGGAGAAAACAAACGAUUAUAAGAAACAAAAGAGGAAAUAGGGUAAGUACAUGCACGUUUUCCUUUGCGAAGGGCAAUGGAAAUAUCUAAAGUAGGAUCAUAAUCAGCGGUAGUAACUGAAUCUUCCAACGACGAAGAUGGUGGAGGAUCUAAGUCUGGAGUCUGCAAUCUCCUUGAAUAAACAUGAACAACAGGAGGUCUGACAGAGACAGGGACAGAAGGAGUAGGAGGAGAAGGAAGAUUUUGUUUAACAGUGUAAACUCAAAGGUCAUCAUCCUCUCCCUGAUUCUCAUACAUAGAUGUUUGAGGAAAUAAUGAAGUAGACUCAAAAAAUAUAACAUCAGCAGAAACAAUGUAACGAUUAAGAGUUGGAGAAAAACACCUGUGUCCUUUUUGGAGCCACGAGUAUCUAAGGAAGACACAUUUAACAGACUUUGAAUCCAAUUUAGAAACCUGCGAACAAAGAUCUCGCACAAAACAAGUGCAGCAAAAAAUUCAAGGUUAAACAGGAAAUAAUGAUUUAGAUGGAAACAAAAUAAUAUAAGAAAUGUCCCCAUCAAGGACAGAAGAUAGCAUGCGAUUAAUCAGAAAAGAUGCUAUAGAAACUGCAUCGACCCAAAAAUAUUUAGGUACCUUCA
rnacentral:misc_RNA from 1 species